UCGAACGAAGCAUUUCGGAGGAAGUUUUCGGAUGGAAUCUGGAAUGACUGAGUGGCGGACGGGUGAGUAACGCGUGGGUAACCUGCCCUGUACUGGGGGACAACAGUUAGAAAUGACUGCUAAUACCGCAUAAGCGCACAGGACCGCAUGGUCCGGUGCGAAAAACUCCGGUGGUACAGGAUGGACCCGCGUCUGAUUAGGUAGUUGGCGGGGUAACGGCCCACCAAGCCGACGAUCAGUAGCCGACCUGAGAGGGUGACCGGCCACAUUGGGACUGAGACACGGCCCAAACUCCUACGGGAGGCAGCAGUGGGGAAUAUUGCACAAUGGGGGGAACCCUGAUGCAGCGACGCCGCGUGAGUGAAGAAGUAUUUCGGUAUGUAAAGCUCUAUCACCAGGGAAGAAAAUGACGGUACCUGACUAAGAAGCCCCGGCUAACUACGUGCCAGCAGCCGCGGUAAUACGUAGGGGGCAAGCGUUAUCCGGAUUUACUGGGUGUAAAGGGAGCGUAGACGGCAGAGCAAGUCUGAAGUGAAAGCCCGCGGCCCAACCCCGGGACUGCUUUCGAAACUGCUCAACUGGAGUGCCGGAGAGGUAAGCGGAAUUCCUAGUGUAGCGGUGAAAUGCGCAG
rnacentral:rRNA from 1 species